rnacentral:lncRNA from 1 species
AUUAGACUCAAACUAUGCCAAUUAGGUGCCAACUCUUGGCUAACCCAUAUUAGAAUAUAAUCUAAUCAAAUUAAAUCAAUUAAGAAUCAGAUUCGAAUCCAAUUCGAAUCAGAUUCGAUUCCAAUUCGAAUCAGGAGCUAAGGUUUGCAACACCUGCUAGGAUGUUUAUCUUGCAAAUAUGAUCUAAUCCAAUUAGACCCUUGAUAAGUUUCCUUGUGUGUGACCCAUUGUGUUCCAUACUUAGCCAGCAAUAGGUGUGAGUGCGAGUUGACCCAACUUGAUUAGAACUCUUCUAAUCGUUUUAAGUCCAAACUGUGCGAACCCGAACUUAA